UUGUUAAAUUACGAGCCUAGUUGGUUUUAGCCACAGAAAAAGGGAGCAACCUUCCCGCUAGCCAUGAUUGGCUGAGAUAAUGAGUGGGCUGGAACAUGCCGAGAGAUGAGUUUGGAUUGGUCUGCAGGUGUGGCAUAUUGUGUCUAUAAAAUGAGCUGCUCGUUAUGCGUAGAUAAUCCUUUCUACUGUAGUUUUUUCUAAAGAUAUAACGUAAAUAAAACGUCAGCCAUGGAGAACUGCAAAUAUGUUACUUCUGCUCUCAAUAACAUUUAAUUUAUCAGGCGCUAUCGGCAAAGGUCAGUGGGGAAAAUGAUGUGAUGGACGACGAUCGUGCCAUACAAUGCUGACUCUCUCUCUCUCUCACUCUGGAAAAUAACACGUUUUUUAAAUCAGUGGAGCGCAACGCAGGAUGUCUGAUGAAAGGGGUUGCAGUCUGCCGUGAAGCGUUCAUCCACGUAUACAGCAUCAAUCAGCAGAACACUCCUGACUCUAAUACACCAGUCAUACAGUCAUCAAAAAGAGAGCUGGCCCAAGCAAGCUAGCAGGUAGCAGCGCAGUCAUCAACAUGCACCAUUUCUUCACCAACUACGGAGUUGGGGAAAACACGUGUGGACCUGAAUUGUGAUAACUGCUGCGGCCAAAACAAGAACAAGUUUCUGGUCUGUUAUUAUGCCAGGCGGACCGACCAUGCACAAGCUCCACCAGUCUGGACCUUCACUUCCUGAUCACAGGCCACAACAAGUUUGCCCCUGACUGGUGCUUCGGCCUCAACGAGCAGCGCUUCAGAAAGACCAGAGUGAACACUUUGUCUGAGAUUGCUGGUGUUGUGAAGGACAUCACUGUGACAGGGGUCAACAUCCUACAGCUGGUUGGACUGGAGGAUGGUACGGUGGAAAGCUUUGGGAGGCAACAACACCUGACUCCGUACUUCAGGCUGCUGGCACGGAUCAAGCAGUACCAGUACUUCAGCUUCGAUGCUCUGGAGCCUGAUGUUGUCGCUAAGGAACGUUCGGACUGUCCUUCCUCCUGGUCUGCCUGUACCACCUGGACUGGACAAAGCGAGACAAACUAUGUUUUUGAGAAGAUCAGGGAUUUUGUGACGAGUCAUCUGCGAUGAACGUAGUACCUUCAGGCGUUUGGAAGUCACUCCAAAGGAUGAACCAGACCUCCAAUUGACUGAAAAUAUGUCAAUUAGCCUAUCAGAAGCUUCUAAAGCCAUGACAUCAUUUUCUGGAAUGUU